GACGAACGCUGGCGGCGUGCUUAACACAUGCAAGUCGAACGGAAAGGCCCUGCUUUUGUGGGGUGCUCGAGUGGCGAACGGGUGAGUAACACGUGAGUAACCUGCCCUUGUCUUUGGGAUAACUUCAGGAAACUGGGGCUAAUAUCGGAUAGGAGCUCCUGCUGCAUGGUGGGGGUUGGAAAGUUUCGGCGGUUGUGGAUGGACUCGCGGCUUAUCAGCUUGUUGGUGGGGUAGUGGCUUACCAAGGCUUUGACGGGUAGCCGGCCUGAGAGGGUGACCGGCCACAUUGGGACUGAGAGACGGCCCAGUCUCCUACGGGAGGCAGCAGGGGGGAAUAUUGCACAAUGGGCGGAAGCCUGAGGCAGCAACGCCGCGUGCGGGAUGACGGCCUUCGGGUUGUAAACCGCUUUCGCCUGUGACGAAGCGUGAGUGACGGUAAUGGGUAAAGAAGCACCGGCUAACUACGUG
rnacentral:rRNA from 1 species